rnacentral:other from 1 species
GAUAGACCCUGGGGUUGGGGAUUACUUCAAUUCCGAACCUAUGAGUCAAUACCAAGGGGGCUGUCCCUUACCGUGGUGUGCAAGCCUAUUCAGUUAGGAAGCCUUAAGCGGUAAUUACGGUGCCCACGUUUAAACCUUGGUUCGAUAUUGACUACCCCCAGCCUUGAGGGUCGUUU